UAGGGAAUCUUCGGCAAUGGGGGCAACCCUGACCGAGCAACGCCGCGUGAGUGAUGAAGGUUUUCGGAUCGUAAAGCUCUGUUGUAAGAGAAGAACGUGUGUGAGAGUGGAAAGUUCACACAGUGACGGUAACUUACCAGAAAGGGACGGCUAACUACGUGCCAGCAGCCGCGGUAAUACGUAGGUCCCGAGCGUUGUCCGGAUUUAUUGGGCGUAAAGCGAGCGCAGGCGGUUUAAUAAGUCUGAAGUUAAAGGCAGUGGCUUAACCAUUGUUCGCUGUGGAAACUGUUAAACUUGAGUGCAGAAGGGGAGAGUGGAAUUCCAUGGGUAGCGGUGAAAUGCGUAGAUAUAUGGAGGAACACCGGUGGCGAAAGCGGCUCUCUGGUCUGUAACUGACGCUGAGGCUCGAAAGCGUGGGGAGCAAACAGG
rnacentral:rRNA from 1 species